AUUGAACGCUGGCGGCAGGCCUAACACAUGCAAGUCGAACGGUAACAGGAAGAAGCUUGCUUCUUUGCUGACGAGUGGCGGACGGGUGAGUAAUGUCUGGGAAACUGCCUGAUGGAGGGGGAUAACUACUGGAAACGGUAGCUAAUACCGCAUAACGUCGCAAGACCAAAGAGGGGGACCUUCGGGCCUCUUGCCAUCGGAUGUGCCCAGAUGGGAUUAGCUUGGAGGUGGGGUAACGGCUCACCUAGUGGACGAUCCCUACCUGGUCUGAGAGGAUGACCAGCCACACUGGAACUGAGACACGGUCCAGACUCCUACGGGAGGCAGCAGUGGGGAAUAUUGCACAAUGGGCGCAAGCCUGAUGCAGCCAUGCCGCGUGUAUGAAGAAGGCCUUCGGGUUGUAAAGUACUUUCAGCGGGGAGGAAGGGAGUAAAGUUAAUACCUUUGCUCAUUGACGUUACCCGCAGAAGAAGCACCGGCUAACUCCGUG
rnacentral:rRNA from 1 species